AGUGAACGCUGGCGGCAGGCCUAACACAUGCAAGUCGAACGGCAGCACAGUGGAGCUUGCUCCAUGGGUGGCGAGUGGCGGACGGGUGAGGAAUACAUCGGAAUCUGCCCAGUCGUGGGGGAUAACAUAGGGAAACUUAUGCUAAUACCGCAUACGACCUACGGGUGAAAGCGGGGGAUCGCAAGACCUCGCGCGAUUGGAUGAGCCGAUGUCCGAUUAGCUAGUUGCGGGGUAAUGGCCCACCAAGGCGACGAUCGGUAGCUGGUCUGAGAGGAUGAUCAGCCACACUGGAACUGAGACACGGUCCAGACUCCUACGGGAGGCAGCAGUGGGGAAUAUUGGACAAUGGGCGCAAGCCUGAUCCAGCCAUGCCGCGUGGGUGAA
rnacentral:rRNA from 1 species